CCUACGGGUGGCAGCAGUGGGGAAUUUUGGACAAUGGGGGCAACCCUGAUCCAGCCAUGCCGCGUGAGUGAAGAAGGCCUUCGGGUUGUAAAGCUCUUUCGGCCGGGAAGAAAUCGCUCAAGCUAAUACCUUGGGUGGAUGACGGUACCGGAAGCAGAAGCACCGGCUACCUACGUGCCAGCAGCCGCGGUAAUACGUAGGGUGCGAGCGUUAAUCGGAAUUACGCGGCGUGAGGCGUGCGCAGGCGGCGAAAUCACCGGGCUUAACCUGGGAACGGCGUUUGUGACUGUGGUGCUCGAGUGCGGCAGAGGGGGGUGGAAUUCCACGUGUAGCAGUGAAAUGCGUAGAGAUGUGGAGGAACACCGAUGGCGAAGGCAGCCCCCUGGGUCGACACUGACGCUCAUGCACGAAAGCGUGGGGAGCAAACAGGAUUAGAUACCCUGGUAGUC
rnacentral:rRNA from 1 species